rnacentral:rRNA from 1 species
CGCGGCCUAUCAGCUUGUUGGUGAGGUAACGGCUCACCAAGGCAUCGACGGGUAGCUGGUCUGAGAGGAUGAUCAGCCACACUGGAACUGAGACACGGUCCAGACUCCUACGGGAGGCAGCAGUGGGGAGUAUUGCACAAUGGGCGCAAGCCUGAUGCAGCAACGCCGCGUGCGGGAGGAAGGCCCUAGGGUUGUAAACCGCUUUCAGCAGGGAAGAAAAUGACGGUACCUGCAGAAGAAGGUGCGGCCAACUACGUGCCAGCAGCCGCGGUGACACGUAGGCACCAAGCGUUGUCCGGAUUUAUUGGGCGUAAAGAGCUCGUAGGCGGUUCAGUAAGUCGGGUGUGAAAACUCUGGGCUCAACCCAGAGACGCCACCCGAUACUGCUGUGACUUGAGUACGGUAGGGGAGCGGGGAAUUCCUGGUGUAGCGGUGAAAUGCGCAGAUAUCAGGAGGAACACCAGUGGCGAAGGCGCCGCUCUGGGCCGUAACUGACGCUGAGGAGCGAAAGCGUGGGUAGCAAACAGGAUUAGAUACCCUGGUAGUCCACGCCGUAAACGUUGGGCACUAGGUGUGGGUCUCAACCAACGAGAUCCGCGCCGUCGCUAACGCAUUAAGUGCCCCGCCUGGGGAGUACGG